CAUAACGCGAUGACGGAUCGAGUAUGUUGCAGUCCAUCUUAACGCGCGUUGGCGCACAGAGAGGAAUUUCCGUGGCUGAAAGAAAUUCCAGAUGAAGGGCAACAGAAGGCUAAUCCGGAGCGCAGGCAAAACCUGACGCAAGGCUGCGUUACGGCCAAAGAGGUGAUGGGCGCUUUUUGCCCAUAAACAGGGUGGUACCGCGAGCACAACUCUCGUCCCUGAA
rnacentral:ncRNA from 1 species